UUGGGGGCAUUGGUAUUUGGCAGCGAGAGGUGAAAUUCUUGGACCUGUCAAGGACUAACAAAUGCGAAGGCAUCUGUCCAGACCGUAUCCAUUAAUCAAGAACGAUAGUGAGAGGUUCGAAGACGAUCAGAUACCGUCCUAGUUCUCACGGUAAACUAUGCCGACCCGGGAUCAGUUUGGAGCUAGAUUUAAUGCUCGGAGUUGGUCCCCCUGGGAAACCUUAAGUUUUUCGGUUGCGGGGGGAGUAUGGUCGCAAGGCUGAAACUUAAAGGAAUUGACGGAAGGGCACCACCAGGGGUGGAGCCUGCGGCUUAAUUUGACUCAACACGGGAAAACUUACCUGGUCCGAACAUCCGAAGGAUACACAGACUAAUAGAUCUUUGUUGAUGGGGUGAAAAGUGGUGCAUGGCCGUUCUUAGUUCGUGGAGUGAUCUGUCAGGCCAAUCCCGGUAACGAACGAGACUACAGUCUCCAUUUGACGGAUCAAAGAAGUCCAACUAUUAUUUGUUGGUAACGGCAGAUGUGUAGUUUGGUCGUUGGCAGUAUUUGUGAAGCUGGCCUGAAUGACAUUGUGCCUGCACGGUGGAGCUAGGGUCAGCCAACUUGUACUCCCUUUGGUAUAGCAACGUAUUUCGGUACGUUGAUAUCAUGGAGAGACAGCGGAACAUAUUACAAAAUCCGAGGAAGUGUAGCUAUAACAGGUCCGUGAUGCCCUUAGAUGUUCAGGGCUGCACGCGCGCUACAAUGAUAGCAACAACGAGUUUCUAGAUCGAAAGAUUUGGGUAAUCUUGCAAUUGCUAUCGUGAUGGGGAUCGACGUUUGUAAAUACGUCGUGAAAGAGGAAUCCCUAGUACGUGCGAUUCAUGCAGAUCGCGCGGAUUGCGUCCCUGCCCUUUGUACACACCGCCCGUC
rnacentral:rRNA from 1 species